GUUCAGCUCAAGCAGAAAGCUAAUUCACUGUUCUCUGCCUCUUUGUUUCAUUCAAGCCCUCAAGGGAUGGUAUAAUGCCUACCCAAAUGGGUGAGAGCGUCUUUUUUACUCAGUCUACCAAUUCAGAUACAAGUCUCUUCUGUAAACACCUUCACAGACAUACCCAGAAAUAAUGUUUUACCAGAUAUUUGGGCAUCCUUUAGCCCAGUCAAACUGACACAUAAAAUUAACUGUCAUAGAAGGACUACCUCGUUAGCAACUAAGAACAAUGGGACUUAGAACAAAGACCUCAUCAGGUAUUAAAUUGGAAGAAGAUACAUUAAUGAAAAGAAAUGUUAUGGUACUGUUGAAGAUGGAGGCAGCAAGACCCUCCGAGGCUAUAGAAAAAAUAGCGUAAUAAACCCAGAAAGGCUCUUCAAGAUAUCUAUGUUAGUGUUCUACCUAACACAGCAAUAAUUUCUUUGCAAAGCCCCUGGCAGAUUAUUUAGUUUUGCUUGGAUCCUUAAGGUGAUGAAGUGUUCCCUUUUUAGCAAGGUAAAUGAAUCUGUUUUUGGACAGAUGUAACUCUUAGAAAUUUCUUCCUUGUACUGCUAAAGCAAGGUCUGUUUCCCUGUAGCUUCCAUAUGGUUUCCUUAAGUGAUAAACAGACUGACUGUAAUAUAUCUUUCCUAUGACAGCCCUCCAAAUAUCUGAAGUAUGUCCCUCCUGUUUUCUUUUUUUAAGUUAAGCAUCCCAGAUACUUCAAUUUAUAUCUCCUCACAAGAUUGCCAGACCUCUUAAUAUUUUGGCUGCCCAAUCAGAAUAAAGUUGUUGAACUCUAGUUUGCCAGUGUCAAUUUUAAAAAGUAAUGUCCAGAAGGAAUUUUGUAUUUUGCAUGUAGUCUGACUGGAACAGAUAAGAGACAGUGAAAUUAAUUUUGUUAGAUAUUUUACACUUGUUAAUUGGACUCUUGGCCUAAACUGAACUGUAAUGAAUGUACCUGUCUGGUAUUUAUCUAAAUUGCCAUCAAACCAGGUUUAGUCUAUUCUGUAGCUGAAAAAAUUAAUUUUAUUUGAUAAAUUUUACCUUGUUCGUUUUGAUCCAUUCAUUCAUUUAUUCAUUCAUUGUUUCAACAAAUACUUUUUGAGGUCAGCAUUGUGGCAGUCUUCGUUAUGCCCUGAGAUUACCAGAAAGUACAGGUUAUUCCAAUUAGUUGAACAACUUGAGAUCAUUUUAAAAUGUAAAUCUAAUAUUCAACAUUGUUAUUUUUACAUCACCUGUCAUCUAUAAAUUUCAUAAACAUGAUUGUAUCUUUAUUCAGUUAAUAACAAGAUUAAAAAAUCAAGGACAUAUUGUGAUAAGCUGGUGAUUUUGAAUCAUCAGGAUUCUAGAUUUAAAAGUUUUUGGAGACAGAACAUUUAACGGUGUGAUUUAUUUAUUUUAUAGAAGAGAGUUAAUAUAUAACUUAGAGUUUGAUUGUCUUAAAUACCGUAUUUCUCUUUUUGUCCCAGGGGAAGAUCACAGAAUGCUGCCUUGCUUGUGGAAUUAUAGAAUUCAAAUCUAUCAGUUUUAUAGGGAGUAAUUUUUCAAGACUUACUCUUAAGGAAUUCAUACUGAUUCCUAAUAAUCAUCAUUUUCUUAAUCUAAAUCCUACAAAGCCAUUCAUUUAAUCAUUUGUUUUAGAAUGUUUCCUGCUUUCCUGUAUGUUUCUUUUUCUUCUUACUUUAAAGCAAGGUUUAAACAUCCCUUUUGAUAUUUUUAGGUUUUGUCGGGGUGUAGGGAGCAAGGUUAUUCUCACUGUGACCUUUGCCCUGCAGCAGUAAAGCAAUAACUAGCAUCAUUUCUGCUUUGUAUUGUUUUAUCAUUUCUACAUCAUGUUUGUAGGCUGACGAAUGAAGUCAAAUGCUUAUAAAUGCUUUGUAAACUAUAAAAUUCUCCAUUUAUAUAUAUUUCUGCCCCACUUAUUUCUCAUUAAUGUUACUUGUGAUUAUAUUGUCAGAAUUCCUUAGAGCCACAUUUUUGUGAAUAUUGUGCUGCAAAUAUAUUUAUUUGUUUGUAAGCACUAAGUAUUCUUUUGUUCCCAAGAAAACAAAUUCUAUAUGAGUCUUUUCUGGUUCUGUUUUUCUUUUGUUUCAAUCUCUUCACAAUAUUGUAUUUAGAGCCAGAUUUAUCAGCCCCAGGCAUCUCUUGCUUUCCUGUGUCUACUUCUUCACAGUAUAACUCUCAGGCAAAAUGACAAAAAGGCAAAUUCACAAAGGAACCAGUGAGUGUUCUUGUCAGUGCUUGGGUUCCAUUCUCAAAUAAGCUGAAAGUUCUUCUAUUUCAUCAACAGAAUGUGAUUUAAAGGGAUAUAUUGCCAGCUUGUAUCACUGCUAAACAGUGGUGUGUCACUGUAGAGCAAAUAGUCACAAGAAUACAUUCUCAGGAAAUAUACAGUUAUAUCUAUGCUUUCUGCCAAGCAAGGAGAAACGCAGACUGGCUCAAAUCUCCAGAAACGACUUGCAUCCUUCUUUAUUUCUUACACCUUUUCUUUUCUUCAUCUCCUAUUUCUUCUUUCCCCAUGUCCUCCUCCUGCUUUCACAAUUUCCUUCUCCUCCUUAUUCUCCUUCUCUUUCACCUCCCCGUCUUCUUCCUUACGCGUUGAUUAUGCCAGUAAGAUGAUAUCUUGUAAAGAAAUGGAAUACUUUUAGCAGAUGCCACACUAUAGCCACAGUAGUGACAUCUGGAAUUUGUCAAAAGCCACAGUUGGCAUCCCUAAAAUUCACCUGCCUGGAUUCUGUUCUGAGAAGAUUGUGUCUGCAAGAAAGUCUGGCCAAGUUCCUAAAAGAGGCAAAAUCAAGGAUAGAUGGCAUCUAUCCUAGUUCACGUGAAGGUUAAAAGCGUCUUCAGGUACUUAGAUACAUAGAUAUACAGGCUCUGUUAUUACAAACUUUCAAGGCAAUUCUUAUGUUCUUAUGUAUUUAUUUGCUUUUUGAAUCACAAAAUUUAUGCUUAUAUUUUAAGCAGAUGGAGUUUGUUUAUGAAGAAGUGAUUAUUGCUGAUACUCAUUAUUACACAUCAGAGUAGUUAUAUUUCUAUGUAAUUUUUUGCAUGGAGUAGGCAUUUGUGGUCUUGCUCUACAUCUGUUUGAUCAUAGCAAUUCCAGUUGAUUUCACAGGGUCAGCAAAUACACAGCACAUAAGCUAACACUCUUCCUUCUUGUACCCACAGUAGACCACUAAUCAAUUAUGGCGUUUGUCUUGCUAAGCCAGGAAACAGCUUCAGAAUCCUUCUCAAACAAUGUUUCAGACAGCUGCUAUUAAUAUGUCAGAGUUGGCACUUGAUGAGAAAUACAGUUGCCAUUCCAGAUUAAGGCCAACACCCCCCACCGCCCCAAAAAACAGCCUCAUAAAAAGACCUCUGAGCAGUGGCAUCAGAAAUCUAAGGGUCACUGAUGGAGUAUGACAGGAAUCUAAGACAGAGAGAGAUCCUAAUUUCCCAGGAGCCAGUAAUGCAGAGUGGAUAAUUCUGGUUUGGACUUAAGGUAGAUGUAGGAUGGAAGUAAAAAAGAAAACAUACAUUGGGACUGGGUCCUUAGAUCUAUAAAUUGUUUAUUUGGGUAGCCAUUACUCAGAUUUCUCUCAUUCUAUAGAGUGGUUUUUUAGAGUUUCACAGUGGUACCUAAUUGUGACAAUACGGGUCUUUCCUAUGAUUAGUGACCCAAUAGAAUAGUGAAAAGGAAAGUAUUUGUUUUUGUACAACAUAGAGGCAUGAGUGCCUUCUUUUAACCCAUUGAUUCCCACACUUUGAUCUUGAGAAACUUACUGUCUUAAACCUUCUGAAGACCUCCCAAAGGGCUUUUGUUUAUAUGGCUAUAACUUUCAAGAUUUAUCAUAUUUAAAUUAAAAUGGAAAAAUGUUAAAAUAGUUAUUGAAAAUGAAAAUAGUAAAUGCCUGUUUACUUAAAUAAUAUUUAAUCUCACAGAUCCCCUGAAAGAUUUUGGAGAAUUUCCUGAUUGGCACUUUGAAAACUGCUGCUGUAACCAAUUCUGUGAUGACUGCUGACUUGAUGUAAGGUGAAUGCAGAAAGUCUCCUGCUAGGACUCUCCCUGGCAUUGCCUCAUUCACAAAAAAUUUCAGACACUAUAUAUAUCAAUUCAGAUAAUUCAUUCAGUUAAAUGUUUAUUAAAUAUAUUUUCAAAUUGUUUAUUGAUAUAUAAUUAUUCUAUCAAGGACACAUAUAAAAUAAUUAGGUAUAGAAAAAUAUAAGAAAGAAAAGGAAAUCAAGAUUAGGAAAAAAUAACAAUGCAGAUAUUCAGACCAUAUAGUACUAUAAAGUUGGCUCAUUAUUUUGCUAAUGUGUUUACUGAGCACCUGUUCUAGACAUAGGAAAUGCAUGGAUGACUACAAUUGCCCCAGUUGUUAUCUCAUUGAGGUUACAUUAUAUUGUACUUGUAAAAUAUGCACCCCCACUCAUGGCUUUAGGCAAUACAAAUGAACAAAAACAAAAACCAGCCAAACAAAUAUAUCAGUUAAAAGAUCAUUGACCAAAAUGUUAAAUGGAGUACUCUGAGGAAGCAAAGAGUUUUGGAGAUAUGCAAAAUAAUUUUCUUAUAGUACAUUUCCUAAUUGACUUUAUAAAGCUGUUUCUUAUAGUCUUCAUUAAUGAAAGUUAAAGAGGCAUGAGAACAAAGUGCUGCUGAGAAUAUUAUAUCAGUUAACUUUUGCGAAAACAAAAGUAUAAUCCAUUUGUUGCCAAUAUUAUCAGACUGUGAUUCUAAAGUGAAACUACCUUUCUUUUUUACGUCCAUGUUUUCAUAGUAUAAGCCCCUCCUGGUCCAUUAAAAAUGUAGUACUGCCAACCUAAAGUUAGUACCAGGGCUUCACCUUAUACCAAGAGAGCUGAGAAAUGUUGGGGAGCACAGAUCAUUUGAUGCAUAGUGAAUACCUGAUAUAGCUGGUAGUUUGAAGUAGUAGCUCCUUAGAUGAUUUUUUUUUCCAGAAGGGGUAAGAAUGUUAUGUGUUAUAGAUGGAAUUCUGUCCUUCCAAAUGUAUAUGCUGAAGUCCUAACUCCCUGUACCUUAAAAUGUGACUGUAUUUGUAGAUAGCGUUUUUAAACAGUAAGUAGGUUAAAAUGAGGUCAUUAGGGUACUCUAAUCCAAUAUGCCUGUUGUCCUUAUAAAAAGGUGUGCUUAAGACACAGACACCUACAGAAGGAAGACCAUGUGAAAAUACAGGGAGAAGAAAGCUAUCUGUAAGCCAAGAAGUGAGUAAGGCCUCAGAAGAAAGCAAAGCCUGCCAACACCUGGAUCUUGGAUUCUGGCCUCCAGAAUCAUAAGAAAAUACGUUUCUGUUGUUUAAGCUACUUGGUCUGUGGUACUUGGUUACAGUAGCCCUAGCAAACUCAUAUGAUUCUGUGAUGAGGGGAAAGAACUGUUGAAAGCAUUUAGUUAUAAAUAAUGAAUCAGGAAACAAAGGGCCAAUAAUGACAUAAUGAACUCCUUAAGACAAAAUAGACUGAAGCAUGAUUAUAGGUCAAGAGGAACACAUAUUUGAUAAGGAAGAGCCUGGGGAAUAAUUGAUGGGAAUCUUGGAGUAGACCAGAAGAGAGAGGAUCAGGAGUAGAGACUGGAGGGAGACGACCCAUUCAUUCCUGGAGGAAGGGAAGCUGAAAUUGAAAUGUUAAAUUAAAAAUGGACAGGAAUGAUCUCCGUUCCAAGAUGACCGAAUAAGAACAGCUCCGGUGUGCAGCUCCCAGUGUGAUCGACACAGAAGACAGGUGAUGUCUGCAUUUCCAAUGGAAGCACCUGGUUCAUCUCACUGGGACUGGUUGGACAGUGGGUGCAGCCCAUGGAGGGUGAGCCAAAGCAGGUUGGGGUGUCACCUCACCUGGGAGGUGCAAGGGGUCGGGGGAUUCCCCUUUCAUAGCCAAGGGAAGUGGUGACAGACUGUUCCUGGAAAAACUGGACACUCCCGCCCAAAUACUGCACUUUUCCCAUGAUCUUAGCAACUGGCAGACCAGGAGAUGCCCUCCUGUGCCUGGCUUGGUGGGUACCGCCCCCAUGGAACCUUGCUCACUGUCAGUGCAGCAGUCUGAGAUCGACCUGCAAGGCAGCAGCCUGCUGGCGGGAGGGGAGUCUGCAAUUGCUGAGGCUUGACUAGGUAAACAAAGCUGCCAGGAAGUUCAAACUGGGUGGAGCCCACCACAGCUCAGUAAUG
rnacentral:lncRNA from 1 species